rnacentral:rRNA from 1 species
GACGAACGCUGGCGGCGCGCUUAAUACAUGCAAGUCGAACGAGAAGCCAGAGCUUGCUCUGGUGGAAAGUGGCGAACGGGUGAGUAACACGUGAGAAACCUGCCCCAAAGAUUGGGAUAAGCCUUGGAAACGAGGUCUAAUACCAAAUACCUUCUUUUUAACACAUGUUAAAAAGAAGAAAUGCUCCGGCGCUUUGGGAUGGUCUCGCGAUCUAUCAGCUUGUUGGUGAGGUAACGGCUCACCAAGGCAUCGACGGAUAGCUGGUCUGAGAGGAUGUCCAGCCACAUUGGAACUGAGACACGGUCCAAACUCCUACGGGAGGCGGCAGUAGGGAAUCUUGCACAAUGAGGGAAACCUUGAUGCAGCGACGCCGCGUGCGGGACGAAGGCCCUAGGGUUGUAAACCGCUUUCAGUAGGGACGAAAGUGACGGUACCUACAGAAGAAGCCCCGGCCAACUAUGUGCCAGCAGCCGCGGUAAU